AUUGAACGCUGGCGGCAGGCUUAACACAUGCAAGUCGAACGGUGCAGCAAUGCAUAGUGGCAAACGGGUGAGUAACACGUGGGAACAUACCUUGAAGUUCGGGACAACAGCGGGAAACUGCUGCUAAUACCGGAUACGCUCUACGGAGGAAAGAUUUAUCGCUUCAAGAUUGGCCCGCGGCAGAUUAGCUAGUUGGUGAGGUAAUGGCUCACCAAGGCUCCGAUCUGUAACUGGUCUGAGAGGAUGAUCAGCCACACUGGAACUUAGACACGGUCCAGACUCCUACGGGAGGCAGCAGUGGGGAAUAUUGGACAAUGGAGGCAACUCUGAUCCAGCCAUGCCGCGUGAGUGAUGAAGGCCUUAGGGUUGUGAAGCUCUUUGAGUAGGGAAGAUAAUGACGGUACCUACAGAACAAGCCCCGGCUAACUUCGUGCCAGCCGCCGCGGUAA
rnacentral:rRNA from 1 species